GACACUGCCAAUAUGACGGAUCCGACUCCAGCCACCGUGACCUUGAAUUCUGCUCUUGUAUCCACUUCAAGGCUGGCUUCAACUGUACAUUACCUGAGUUCAGCAGCAGUGCCAACAUCACAUGCACCCCAUCACACGCCCCUUCCUGAAGUGCCUGUUAGAGCCAAAGACCUCACCGACUUGUCAUCUCAUACAGGAAUGUUGGAACACGAAUUUUCCGCGCCAGUGGCGAUACUCAUCAUUUUGGGGGUGAUGGCUGGAAUCAUCGGAAUUAUCCUUCUCAUCUCUUACUCUAUCGGCCAAAUAAUAAAGAAAAGGUCAGUUGACAUACAGCCUCCUGAGGACGAGGACCAGGGUGUGCCUUUGAGUUCUAUUGAGCAGACCGUUAAUCAAGAGUUCGCCAAUGUUUGAAAGACCUCGAGGAAAACAAGACUUCAGUUGGUGGAAAAAGUAAUGCAAAAAUCAGAUGUUUCAGUAAAUUAUGUACCCUCCUGAGCUGCACUGUAAGAAGAAAAUGUCACCUUUUGAGCCUCCAUGAUUCACUACAGGGGGUGGGGCACCUCUGUUCACUAAUAACUGAAGAUGAAGAACAAAAGUUUCCUUGUAGGCUUGAUUUUGCUGGCAGAAAUUUGUGUAACUCUUUGACUAGAAAUUUUACUCAAAAAAAAAUGUCAGUCGAGUUUCUGUGCUGUCCUUUAAAGACUGACGCAUUCUAUUCUGUUGUGGUUUGUUCAUGGUGAUGUUGUGCAAAGGUGUGACAUCCAAGUUUCUUCAUCACUUCAAUUCCUGAGCCCAUUCUCAUUUAAUUUAAGCAAAUUAAAAAACCAGCAAGUCCUCCUGUGUUCUUCCUUGCACACAGGCAAGCACACAGCUCUCUGUUAAUGGGAAGGACACUUUACCCUCUCAGAAAUGCCGCAAACAUAAAUAUAGGUAAGGACACGCCUCCAUUAUUCGGUAUUUCAUGGGUAACUCUUGAGUUUUCAACAAACUUUCUGAACCCAUCCAGUGGAAGCCUCCCUUGUUAAUAAAACUUUCUAGAUAUAAGUGAUGAAGGGGUUUUGAAACUACACUGCUGCCCAUUCCUUUAUAGAAAAACUUAAAAUAAUAAUGUUUUUAAGAGGACAUGAAGUUAGGAGGAGUGGGGAGGUAGGGGUGGAUGUGGGACUGGCAAAGGGAGAGAGUAAGGGAUAAGUAUGUUCAAAAUACAUUGUAUGAAAUUCUCGAAUUAAUAAAAAUGUUUUAAAAAAUCAACACAAA
rnacentral:lncRNA from 1 species